AUUGAACGCUGGCGGCAGGCUUAACACAUGCAAGUCGAGCGGAGUGAUGGUGCUUGCACUAUCACUUAGCGGCGGACGGGUGAGUAAUGCUUAGGAAUCUGCCAUUUAGUGGGGGACAACAUUCCGAAAGGAAUGCUAAUACCGCAUACGUCCUACGGGAGAAAGCAGGGGAUCUUCGGACCUUGCGCUAAAUGAUGAGCCUAAGUCGGAUUGGCUAGUUGGUGGGGUAAAGGCCUACCAAGGCGACGAUCUGUAGCGGGUCUGAGAGGAUGAUCAGCCACACUGGGACUGAGACACGGCCCAGACGCCUACGGGAGGCAGCAGUGGGGAAUAUUGGACAAUGGGCGGAAGCCUGAUCCAGCCAUGCCGCGUGUGUGAAGAAGGCCUUUUGGUUGUAAAGCACUUUAAGCGAGGAGGAGGCUACUAGUACUAAUACUACUGGAUAGUGGACGUUACUCGCAGAAUAAGCACCGGCUAACUCUGUGCCAGCCGCCACCGUAAUAC
rnacentral:rRNA from 1 species